AACGAACGCUGGCGGCAGGCCUAACACAUGCAAGUCGAACGCUCCGCAAGGGAGUGGCGCACGGGUGAGUAACACGUGGGAACCUACCUUCUGGUACGGAACAACCAAGGGAAACUUUGGCUAAGACCGUAUACGACCUCCGGGUGAAAGAUUGAUCGCCGGAAGAGGGGCCCGCGUCCGAUUAGGUAGUUGGUGAGGUAACGGCUCACCAAGCCUUCGAUCGGUAGCUGGUCUGAGAGGAUGACCAGCCACACUGGGACUGAGACACGGCCCAGACUCCUACGGGAGGCAGCAGUAGGGGAAUAUUGGACAAUGGGCGCAAGCCUGAUCCAGCCAUGCCGCGUGAGUGAUGAAGGCC
rnacentral:rRNA from 1 species